rnacentral:rRNA from 1 species
UGAGUAACACGUAGGUAACCUACCCUGGUGCCUGGAAUAACCUGUCGAAAGGCGGGCUAAUACCAGAUAAGACCACGGAGACCUCGGUCUCUGAGGCAAAAGGUGGCCUCUGCUUGCAUGCUAUCACACCGGGAGGGGCCUGCGCGCCAUUAGCUUGUUGGUGAGGUAACGGCUCACCAAGGCUGAGAUGGCUAGCUGGUCUGAGAGGAUGAUCAGCCACACUGGGACUGAGACACGGCCCAGACUCCUACGGGAGGCAGCAGUGGGGAAUAUUGCGCAAUGGGCGAAAGCCUGACGCAGCGACGCCGUGUGAGUGAUGAAGGCCCUCGGGUCGUAAAGCUCUGUCAGGAGGGACGAAACCUCGGUAAGUUAAUAUCUUAUCGACCUGACGGUACCUCCAAAGGAAGCACCGGCUAACUCCGUGCCAGCAGCCGCGGUAAUACGGAGGGUGCAAGCGUUGUUCGGAAUUACUGGGCGUAAAGCGCGUGUAGGCGGCCUUCUAAGUCUGGUGUGAAAUCCCGGGGCUCACCCCCGGAAGUGCAUUGGAUACUGGGAGGCUAGAGUACCGGAGAGGAAGGUGGAAUUCCUGGUGUAGCCGGUGAAAAUGCGUAGAUAUCAGGAGGAACACCCGGUGGCGAAG